CGGAAGAGGAGUUGAUCUGGUGAAAAGGGGGAGGGACAGUUUCUGUGGGGAUGUAAUAUAUGAGCGAAGAGUGAAAGUAACAACCAAAGAACGGAUCGGAAUCUUCAAGUGACUCUGCCUUGAACAGCCCUUCGGAGGAUAAAAGGAGUGCUUUUGUUUCCAGGUUUGGGGAUCAUCCUCACUGUGCAUCGCCAGCGGGACUUGGUUCUACAGCCUCAUAUGAGAGGAAAAAGGUGAAGCCUUCCCACUAAAUGCUUCACUUCUACCAUUAGAUAUUGCUGCCUCCGACGCUGAACUGGAAGUCGGAUCAGGAAUAAAUCAAGAGUCCAGUGGCUCGCUGGUAGAAUAAAAUUUAACACUCACAAAACAAAACAAAGAUGAAGUAUACGAGUCCUUGGAAGUCAAACAAACCAGCAGCAAGAGGGAUCUCCCAGAGGAGCUGCACGAGAAGGAGGCACAGUUCAGAGCUGAGAGGUGAACAGCAUGAGUAAUGAGGCUGGUGUGAUCUGUCUUAAAUAUAUUUACACAUUUAUGAAAUGUAAGCUUGGAUCACGUAGUGUCCAUAAAUUAAACAGCCAACGAGAUUCCAA